rnacentral:rRNA from 1 species
CAGCAGCAGCCGCGGUAAUACGUAGGGUGCAAGCGUUAAUCGGAAUUACUGGGCGUAAAGCGUGCGCAGGCGGUUAUAUAAGACAGAUGUGAAAUCCCCGGGCUCAACCUGGGAACUGCAUUUGUGACUGUAUAGCUAGAGUACGGCAGAGGGGGGUAGAAUUCCACGUGUAGCAGUGAAAUGCGUAGAGAUGUGGAGGAAUACCGAUGGCGAAGGCAGCCCCCUGGGCCAAUACUGACGCUCAUGCACGAAAGCGUGGGGAGCAAACAGGAUUAGAUACCCCCGUAGUCCCUGUCUCUUAUAC